rnacentral:rRNA from 1 species
AGUGAACGCUGGCGGUAGGCCUAACACAUGCAAGUCGAACGGCAGCACAGUAAGAGCUUGCUCUUACGGGUGGCGAGUGGCGGACGGGUGAGGAAUACAUCGGAAUCUACUUUUUCGUGGGGGAUAACGUAGGGAAACUUACGCUAAUACCGCAUACGACCUACGGGUGAAAGCAGGGGAUCUUCGGACCUUGCGCGAUUGAAUGAGCCGAUGUCGGAUUAGCUAGUUGGCGGGGUAAAGGCCCACCAAGGCGACGAUCCGUAGCUGGUCUGAGAGGAUGAUCAGCCACACUGGAACUGAGACACGGUCCAGACUCCUACGGGAGGCAGCAGCGGGGAAUAUUGGACAAUGGGCGCAAGCCUGAUCCAGCCAUACCGCGUGGGUGAAGAAGGCCUUCGGGUUGUAAAGCCCUUUUGUUGGGAAAGAAAAGCAGCAGGUUAAUACCCCGCUGUUCUGACGGUACCCAAAGAAUAAGCACCGGCUAACUUCGU